GCCUCCGUAGCUCAGUGGUAGAGCAGCUGCCUUGUAAGCAGCAGGUCGAGGGUUCAAAUCCCUCCGGGGGCU
rnacentral:tRNA from 1 species